CCUACGGGAGGCAGCAGUAGGGAAUCUUCCACAAUGGGCGAAAGCCUGAUGGAGCAACGCCGCGUGGGUGAAGAAGGUCUUCGGAUCGUAAAACCCUGUUGUUAGAGAAGAAAGUGCGUGAGAGUAACUGUUCACGUUUCGACGGUAUCUAACCAGAAAGCCACGGCUAACUACGUGCCAGCAGCCGCGGUAAUACGUAGGUGGCAAGCGUUAUCCGGAUUUAUUGGGCGUAACGGGAACGCAGGCGGUCUGUUAAGUCUGAUGUGAAAGCCAUCGGCUUAACCGGAGUAGUGCAUUGGAAACUGGGAGACGUGAGUGCAGAAGAGGAGAGUGGAACUCCAUGUGUAGCGGUGAAAUGCGUAGAUAUAUGGAAGAACACCAGUGGCGAAAGCGGCUCUCUGGUCUGUAACUGACGCUGAGGUUCGAAAGCGUGGGUAGCAAACAGGAUUAGAUACCCCAGUAGUC
rnacentral:rRNA from 1 species